UCCAAGUUUCCUCUUAAAAGGACACCAAUCAGACUGGAUUAGGACCCCACCCUAAGGACUUCAUUUUAACUUAAUCAUCUCUUUAUUUAUUGUUAUUAUUAUUAUUAUUAUUUAGAGGCAGGGUCCUGCUGUGUCGUACAGGCUGGAGUGCAGUGGUGCAAUCAUGGCUUACUGCAGCUUCAACCUCUUGGGCUCAAGCCAUCCUCCUGCCUUGGACUCCCAAGUAGCUGGGACUACAGGUAUGCACCACCACGUCUGGCUAGUUUUUUAAAUUUUUUGUAGAGACGGGGUCUCUCUAUGUUGCCCAGGCCCAGGCUGGUCUUGAGCUCCUGGGCUCAAGCGAUCCCCCCACCUCAGCCUCUCAAAGUGCUAGGAUUAUAGGCAUGAGCCACUGCACCCUGCUUUAAUCACCUUUUUUUUAACUUUUAUUUUAGGUUUAGGAGUGCAUAUGCAGGUUUGUUACAUAGGUAAAUUGCAUGUCAUGGGGGUUCGGUGUGCAGAUUAUUUCAUCACACAAGUAAUAAGCAUAGUACUGAAUAGGUGGUUUCUCCAUCCUCUCCCUUUUCCCACCUGCCACUCUCAAAUACACAUGUGGUCAUGUUAAUCACCUCUUUAAAGGCCCUAUCUCCAAAUACAGUUGCCUUCUGAGGUACUGAGGGUUAGGGCUUCAACAUAUAAAUUUGGUGGGGGAGUGGAGGGAAGACACAAUUCAGCCUAUAACAGCUUGUCUUUCUGCUUGGAUUAUCUCUAAAACUCCUCAACCUCAACAUGUCCAAAUGAAUCCUCAUGACCUUGAACCUCCGCCCAGGCCCCUGAUGCCCUUGAGAAUUUCCCAUCUAGCAGAAUGUCACCAACACAAGCUGGAUACCUUUUGACUUAUCCUGUCCACUCAUCCCCCUGCCCAAUUCAUCUCCAACUUGCCCCGUUGACCUGACUCCCCAAAUGCCACAUCCCCAAGCCCAAGUUCCCAUCAUCUCUUUCCUGAACCUCCACUCCAACCCCCAGGUGUCUUUCUGCAUCUAACCCUGCACAUCUGCAGCCUAUUCUGCAGAGUGGCAGAGGUAUCUUCUUCAAGGCACAUCUGAUUAUGUGCCCUUGCACCUGCUGAGCUUCCUGCAUCUUCUCUGACCAUCUCUUAAAUGCUGAUGCUCUUGGAAUUCAGUCCCAUCCAUCUCUCUUCUCUCCAUGUCAUCUUCCUGAACACUCUCAUCCACUUCUACAGCUUCAGUUACCGGCUAAAACCUUGCAUUAGUCCGUUUUCAUGCUGCUGAUAAAGACGUACCUGAGACUGGGUAAUUUAUUUUUUAUUAGAAAACAAACAAAAAAAAGAGGUUUAAUGGACUCACAGUUCCACGUGUCUGGGGAGGCCUCACAAUCAUGGCAGAUGGUGAAAGGCACAUCUUACAUGGCAGCAGACAAGAGAUAAUGAGAACCAAGAGAAAGGGGUUUCCCUUUAUAAAACCAUCAGCUCUCAUGAAACUUAUUCACUACAAUGAAUAAGAGUAUGGGGGAAACUUCCACCAUGAUUCAAUUAUCUCCUACUGGGUCCCUCCCACAACACAUGGGAAUUAUGGGAGCUAUAAUUCAAGAUAAGAUUUGGGUGGGAACAGGGUGAAGUGACUCACACCUGUAAUCCCAGCACUUUGGGAGGCCGAGGCAGGUGGAUGACCUGAGGUUAAGAGUUUGAGACCAGCCCCGCCAACAUGGCAAAACCCCAUCUCUACUACUAAAACACAAAAAUUAGCCAGGCGUGGUGGUGCGCACCUGUAAUCCCAGCUACUCCAGAGGCUAAGGCAAGAGAAUCGCUUGAACCUGGGAGGUGGAAGUUGCAGUGAGCCGAGGUCGUGCCACUGCAUUUCAGCCUACGUGACAGAACAAGACUCCAUCUCAAAAAAAUAAAAAUAAAAAAGAGUUGGGUGGGGACACAGCCAAACCAUAUCAAACCUAGAGGCCACUCUUGAUGGCUUCCAGAUCAUUCCCCAAACCCCAAGCCUCUCAACCAGCUUUCAAACCCAAGGGUCUUAAAUGCUUUAAUCCAUUAUCACUAAGCAUAAUAACAGCCCUGUAAAUAUUUGUAAUGAGAUACUUGGUGAAACAGAACUUGUAAUUAUUAUUUUAUUUUCAUUAAAAUAUUAUUUUAAUAAAUUAGUUUAUUUUCACUAAAAGAACCCACCAGUCACUUCUCUAGGUUGACAUGGUAAGUCACCCUGUGGUAAAAUUUUGGACUGUAAAAGAGCCACAUAAGUGGUGUCUCCAGUUAAGGUGAAAACCCAUUCCUUGAAGGAAAGGUAUAAUAGAACCAUUGGCACAUGACUGCCACUCUCCCCUCCAAGAUUUCUCAAUGGGCAAGGAUAAAUUUACAUUGUGGUUGGAAAAGAAGCCACCUGGGAGCAGAGAGAUUGAGACCUGAACUCACUUUGUUGCAAAAUUCAACAUUUUUAGAACUUCUUUGCAGGGUUGGGGAGGUCCUGGAUGAAGCAAAUUGGUGGCGGGUUCAGGGGGUGGACAUCUAAAGCCCUACAGUGGAGAUCACUGUGAAGAAAUGGGGUGUCUAGUCUAGAGAUGCAGCCUCAUAAUAACAUCUGGGUGCUUGGGGAAAAGGACCAUAGCUGAAAUGGAUAGACCCUCUAGUCACAGCCCCCUGAUUUGAUUGUUUCUAAAACACGACCACCAACCUAUAGUGUUCAGUGACUGUGUGGUUGACUGUGGCUUCUAAAAGACUACUUGAGACCCUGAGCAUGGAGCAGUUCUGUAAUCUGGACAGGAAUCUGGAACAACAUCCUCAAAACUUGGGAAACAGGUGCCAGACUUCACCAGACAAGUUCCCAACAGUGGCACAUUGUGGAGACUAAAGACUAGAUAGUGAUAAUUUAUGAAUGAAACUCUAGUUUACUCUACACCUGUCUUCAGAAGCAAGACUGACCUCCUUGGAACAGACUUUCUGGACAAUUUGCUGGCAGAGGAAGAGACCACAAGAGGAAAAAAGUGGACUUCCUGGUAAUUUAGGGGUUUGAUUAACAAAUUUGAAUAUUUAAAAGAGAUGUUAUUUUCACUAAAGAAGAUAGCUAAAUGGUAAAUAAGCCUAUUCAACAUUAUUAGUCAUCAAAGAAAUUCAAGUUAAAACUACAAUGACAUAUCACCACACACCCUUGAAAAUGGCUAAAAUAAGGACUGAUAUUAUCAAGUGUUGGGGAAGAUGUGGAGCAACUAGAACUCUCAUACUCAAUUUGGGAGUGCAAAUUGGUUCAAUCUCUUUGGAAAACUGUUUAGCAGUAGCUACAAAAGCUGAAAGCAUAGACUGUGACCCAGUAAUUUCAUUUCUGGAUAUUACUACACAUAUAUACACAGGAAUGUUUAUAUAUUUCCACCAAAGUGCCUACGCAAGAAUAUUCAUAGCAGCACUAUCUGUAAUAGCCUAAAACUAGAAACUACCUAAAUGUCCAUCAACAGGUUAAAAAAAGAUAAAUUGUGGUAUGUUUCUAUAAUGCAUUGUUACUCAGAAAGAAGAAGGAUGAGGAGAAUGUAACAACAUGAAAGAAACUCACUGCCCUAAUAUUGAGCACAAGAAACCAGAAAUACAUACAGAAAAGUAUACCAUACUCAUUGUUCUAUUUAUAUGAAAUUCAAGAACUGGCUAAACUAAUCUAUGAUGACAGAAGUCAGAAUAUGAUUACUUUUGGAAGGAGGAGCAUUAACCAAAAUGGGACAUAAAGGAGGCUGUUGAGAUACCUGAAAUAUUCUUGUCAUAAUCUGGGUAGUGUUGUAUGGGUAUUGCCAUGUAUUAAAUUGUGUCUCCCCACACCUUCAAAUUCAUACUUUGAAGCCCUAUUCCCCAAUAUGGUUAUGUUUAAAACUAGGGCUUUUAGAAGGGAAUUAAGGUUAAAUGAGACCAUCGGUUCCCUGAUCCCAUAAGAUUAGCAUCCUUAUAAAAGAAACAGCAGAGUUUGUGCGCUCACUCUGUCUUUCACUCUCUGUUUCUCUGUCUGUCUCCCCCUCUCUCCCUCUCUUCCUCCUGCUCUCUGCAUGCAUAGCACAAGGAAAGACCAUGUGAAUACACAGCAAGAACGUGGUGCUCUGCAAGUCAGAAACAGACCCGUCAUCAGACACCAAAUCAGCCAGCACCUUGAUCUAGGAUUUCUGGCCUCCAAAACAGUGAGAAAAUAAAAUUCUGUUGUUUAAGCCAUGCAGCCUGUUGUAUUUCAUUAUGGCAGCCUGAGCAGAAUAAGACAGGUAUAUACAAAUGCAAAUUCUAUUAAGAAAUCUGUAUCUUUUACCCUAUUGAAGUAAGUUAUACCUCAAUUGAAGAAUAAAUAAAAGAGAAAGAAGGAGCAGCACAACCUUGUUUGUAUUCCCAACCUGGUGAGUGGGUGAUAUAGGUUGCCUCUCACUGUGCCCACUCAGCUGAUGAGAAAAGUGCAGCUUUGAGUGAAGAAGUGACAUGUGGCUAUGGUGGCAGAACUAGGCACAUAAUCCAGUUCAGUUUGGUGAACAAUGACAAUGUGUGCCCUUUGCAAGCCCCACGGUGGACAUUGCUGUCAGGAGUGGCCUCACAGGAGGUGCCCAGGCCUUAAAGGUAAAUAAGCAUUUACAAUACGGUGUGGUCCACACUGUGAUGGGCUUCACGGAGGUCACAAGAGCGCCGAAGGACCACCUAGCAUAGCCCAGGAUGUGGGAGUGGAAACCUGAGCCAAGACUUCAGGGGUACCAGACAAAUCCUGUACUUCCCCUUCUCCCAAAGUCAGCCUGGAGCUCCAUGUCUUGCUCCUUAAAGUGUGGUCCACAGACCAGCAGUCUCUGUCACCUGGAUGCUGGCUGAAAUUGUAGAAUUGCGGCUCCACCCAGGCCUACUGCAUCAGCAUCUGCUUUUUACCAAGAUCCCCUGGGAAAGCACACUCGCACUGGAAAAGUGCUGGUCUGUAUAUUUCAGAAGGACACUGGGAGCCAUGGACAGCUCUAAACACAAAGUGGCAUCCUCCCAGAGCUGAAUCCCCCACCGUCUCUAUCUUGGCCACAAACACUUCUGAGCACCAGGACAUCCACUCAAUUCCCACUGACCCAGGUGACUAGGUCCCAGGAGAUUGUGUGUCUAUAUUCACCUCCCCAACAGAGCAAGUCUGGCCCUAGCAGGUGUGCAAGCCAGUGAUCUGGCAAUUAGAGCCACUGAUUGGAAAAUGGGCUGCUUACCUGCGACAAAGGAGGGCUUCUCUUCUCUGAGGCCUUAGACAAAGCAGGCUUCCAGGGCAGCUAAUUACCUGAUAGGUAGCAAAGCUAUCACCUACUGGGCCUUUUAGCUCAGUUAAUAGAGCAAUUUGCCCAGCCUUUUGUCCUUCUCUUGUUGUGAUUUCUUGACCUACAAUCGUUUUACAAAAUGAGAAAGUUACACAAACGCUGCUUAAUCCGGAGUUCAGAACUUGGGGCCCAGCUUCUGGCCAGGCCAGCAGCAAAGCUACUGUAGAACCAGGUACCUAGGAAAAGAUGUGGGUCCCUGCUCCUGGGUUUGUAGACCAAACAGAGUAUAUGAAUGAUGGCACAGUUUGCAGAUUGUCCUAUGAAAUAAUUUAAAUAAGAUCAUCUAUAUGGGGAUUAGUAAAAUGUAAGCUCUAUUGAAGGAUAGCAGUUAUUUUCUUAGACCAGGUCAUUGAAAUUUAAUGUGAACACUUUCAUAUCAAAAUGCACACACUGUAAGAGCUAAGGUGUCCAAUCAUUCCAGUUUGCCAUAAGCAAGAUCCCAGGCCCUGUCCUCAUGGAGCUGGGAGUCUAAUGGGGGGAAAGAAAAGAAACAAGUAAGAAAAUAAAAUAGUUACCCAUGAUAAGUGAUAUGUUGGAAACAAAGAAAGAAAGGCCAUAGAGUGGCCCAGGAAGGCUUCUCCAAUGCCUGACAAAUGUCAAGUGUCCAGCCAUUUGAAGAGAUGUGUAUGGGGUUUGAGAGAGAGAAAAGUGGGAGUUCCAAGAAGAUGCAGCAGCAAGUGCAAGUGUCCUGAGACAGGGCAGAGCUUGGUGUGUGAGAUGUCAGAAGCCUGGCAUAGACUGUGUUUGUGUGUGUGUGUGUGUGUGUACACAAAUGCACACUUGUAUGCCUCUGCUGAGGGCAGUGAGAGGAGAUGGGGUCAAGGUUGAAGUAGUGAGCAAAGUCCAGACCAUGCAGAACUCAUAGACCAUGGUAGGAGUUGGAAUUUUACUCUGAGUAUAAUAGAAAGCAUUAAAGUGUUGGCCCUACUAUUCCUUUCCCUAAUUUCUCAAGUCAAAUACAUUGCUCAUUACUUGUCAGUCAUCCUCCUUUUGAAACAGAUUCAUUUUAGGUCUGUAUAUCUGCCACUAAGUGCAGCUAUAGCUGCUUUGCAUAAUUUUUUUAACUAAUAAACUUUACUGUGUUUUAGGAUCACAGCAAAAUUGAAUGGAAACAACCGAGAGCUCCCAUAUGCCCCCUGUCCCCCACAUAUGCACAAGUUCCCUCACUGUUGAAAUCCCCCACCACUGUGGUACACGUGCUACAGUAAAUGAACUUACAUUGACACAUCAUUAGCAUCCAAUGUCCAUAGUUUACAUUAGGCUUCACUCUUGGUGUCAGACAUUCUAUGGAUUUGUACAAGUGUGUAAUGACAUGUACCCAUACCUGUAGUAUUAUACAGAAUGGUUUCUCUGCCCUAAAAAUCUUCUGUGCCCCACCUAUUCAUCCUUCCCUGAGCCUACCCCAUAGAAACCACUGAUAUUUUUAACUAUCUCUACAGGUUUGCCUCUUACAGACUGUCAUAUAUUUGGAAACAUACAGUAUGUAGGCUUUUUAGACUGGCUUCUUUCAUUUUGUAAUAUGCAUUCAAGUUUCCUUCAUGUCUUCUUAUGGCUUAAUAGCUCAUUUCUUUCAGUGCUGAAUAAUAUUUCAUUGUCUGAAUGUACCACCGUUUACUCAUUCGCCUACUGAUGGACGUCUCAGUUGCUUUCACAUUUUGCCAAUUCAGAAUACAGUUUCUAUAAAUAUCCAUAUACAGGUUUUCUGUGAAAAGUUUCUACUCCCUCAGGUAAAAGCCAAGGAGUUCAACUGGUGGAUUGUAUGAUAAAAGUAUGUUUUGUUUUGUAAGAAACAGCCAAACUGUCUUCCAAAGUGGCUGUACCAUUUAUUUGCCUUCCCAUCAGCAAUGAAUGAGAGUUCCUGCGGCUCUAUAUCCUUGCCAGCAUUUGGUAUUGUCAGUGUUUUGGAUUUGGGUCAUUCUAAUAGGUCUGUAGUAGUAUUUCAUUGUUGUUUUAAUUUGCAUUUCCCUGAUGACAUACUAUGCAGAACAUCUUUUCAUAGCUUAUUUCCCACCUAUACCUUCUUUGGUGAGGUGUCUGUAAAGGUUUCUGGGCCACUUUUUAAUAGGGUUGUUUGUUGUCAAGUUUUAAGAGUCCUGUGUAUAUUUUGGACAGCAAUCCUUUAUCACAUAUGUCUCUUGCAAAUAUUUUCUCCAAGCUCUCUUAACAUUGUUUCUUGCAGGCAGAAAAUUUUAAUUUUAAUUUUAAUGAAGUACGGCUUAUCAAUUAUUUCUUUCAUGGAUUGUGCCCUUGGUGUUGUACUUAAAAAGUCACCACCAAACCCAAGGUCAUCUAGAUUUUCUCCUAUGUUAUCUCUAGGAGUUUUAGAGUUUUGCAUUUUACAUUUAAGUCUGUGAUCUAUCUUGAGUGAAGGGUAAAAGAUUUGCACGUAGAUUGACUUUUUUUUGCAUGUGGAUAUCUUGUUGUUCCAACACCAUUUAUUGAAAAGAGUAUCUUUGCUCCAUUGCAAUGCCUUUGCUCAUUUUGUGAAGAUCAGCUAACUAUAUUUCCAUGAGGCUACUUCUGGGCUCUCUGUUCUCUUCCAUUGCUCUAGUUUUUUUCUUUCACCAAUACCAUACUGUCUUGAUUACUGUAGCUUAAUAGUAAGUCUUAAAAGUCAGAUAGUGUCAGGUCUGUUUGUUCUCCUUCAGUAUUGAGUCGGCUAUUCUGGGUCUUUGGCCUCUCCAUAUAAAUUUUGGUUUUGUUGUUUUCUUUUGUUUUUCUUCUUGUAGAGACAAGGUCUUGCUAUGUUGUGCCCAAGCUGGUCUCAAACUCCUGGCUUCAAGCAUUUUCCCAUCUCAGCCUCCCAAAGUGCUGGAAUUACAGGUGUGAGCCACUGUGCUCACCAGUUUAUAUAAACUUCAUAAUCAGUUUUCCAAUAUCCACAAAAUAACUGUCUGGGAUUUGAUUGGGUAUUGCAUUGAAUCUUGAUGGAUCAACUUGGGAAGAACUGACAUCUUGACAAUAUUGGGUCCUCCUAUCCAUAAACUUGGAAUACCUUCCCAUUUAUUAAGUUAUUAUUUAGUAUCUUUCAUCAGAGUUUUGUGGUUUUCCUCACAUAGAUUUUGUACAUUUUUUUAGAUUUAUACCUAAAUGUUUUAUUUUAAAUGGAAAUAAUAUGCUUUUUAUUUUAAAUUUCAUUUGUUCAUUGCUGGCAUUUAGAAAAGUGAUUGACUUUUGUAUAUUAACCUUGUAUUUUGUAACCUUGCUAUAAUUAGUUCCAGGCAUUCUUUUGUUGAUUCUUUCACAUUUUGUACAUAGACAAGUCAUGUCAUCUAUGAACAAAGACAGCUUUAUUUCUUUCUUCCCAAUCUGUAUGCCUUUUAUUUUAUUUUCUAGUCUUACUGCAUUAGCCAGGAUGUAUAUUGAAAAGGAGUGCUAUGAGGGGAUAUCCUUGCCUUGUUCCUGACCUUAGUGGGAAAGCUUUGAGUUUCUCACUGUUAAUCAUGAGGUUAGCUGUAGCUUUUUUUUAGAUGUUCUUUAUCAAGUUGAGGAAGUUCCCCUCUUUUCCUAGUUUGCUGAAAGAUUUUAUUAUGAAUGGGUAUUGAACUCUGUCAAAUGCAUUUUCUGCAUCUAUUGAAAACAAAUUUUUUUCUUCACCCUGUUGAUGUAAUGAAUUACACUUAUUGAUUUUUGAAUGUUAAACCAGUGCCACAUAUAUAGAAUAAAUCUCACUUAGCUGUGGUAUAUAAUUUUUAUAUGUUGUUGAAUUCAAUUUUCUAAUAUUUUGAGAAUUUUUACAUGUACAUUCAUGAGAGAUAUUGGUUUCUAGUUUUCUUGUAAUACUUUUUCUGGUUUUGGUUUUAGGGUAAUACUGGCCUUAUAGAGUUAGUUAAGAAGUAGUUACUCUGCUUCUAUCUUGUAAAAGAGGUUGUAGAGAAUUGGCAUAAUUUCAUCCUUAAAUGUUUGUUAGAAUUCACCAAUGAGUGUAUCUGGGCCUAGUGCUUUCUGUUUUGGAAGGUAAUUAAUUAUUUAUCCAAUUUCUCUAAUAGAUACGGGCCUAUUCAGAUAGUCUGCUUCCUCUUGUGUGAGUGUGUCUUUCAAGGUAUUGGUCUCUUUCAUCUAGAUUAUCAAAUCUGUGGACAUAGACUUGUCCAUAAUAUUUCUUUAUUAUCAUUUCCAUGUCCGUGGGAUAUAUAAUGAUGUUCUUUCUUUCAUUUCUGAUAUUAGUAAUUUGUGUCUUCUUUCUUUUUCUUAGGCCAAGUAGAGACUUAUCAAUUUUAUUAAUCUUUUCAAAGAACCAGCUUUCCGUUUCAUUGAUUUUCUCAAUUGAUUUCCUGCUUUCAAUUUUAUUACUUUCAGCUCUAGUUUUUAUUAUUUCUUUUCUUCUGUUUACUUUAGAUUAGAUUUUCUCCUUUUUUCUAGUUUCCUAAAGUAGAAAUUUAGAUUAUUGAUUUUCAAUCUUAUUUUUAAAACAUGCAUCUAUGCUAUAAAUUUCCCUCUAAGCACUGCUUUCACUGCAUCCCACAAAUUUCGACAAGAUGUAUUUCCAUUUUCAUUUAUUUCAAAAUAAUUCUUAACUUCCCUUAAGAUUUCUUCUGUGAUCCAAUUCUAUUUUAGAAGUAUGUUGUUUCAUCUUCAGGUAUUUGGGGAUUUUGCAGCUAUCUUUCGGUUAUUUAUUCCUAAUUGUGCUCUGAGAGCAGACAUUGUAUGAUUUCUAUUGUUUAAAUUUGUUAAGGCAUAUUUUAUAGCCCAAAAUGUGGUCUACCUUGGUGGAUGUUACAUAUGAGUUUGAGAAGAAUGUGCAUUGUGCUAUUGCAGGAUAAAAUUGUCUAUAGAUGUCAAUUAUAUCCUCUUGAUUGAUGGUGCUGUUGAGUUCAAGUUCAACCACGUUCUUGCUGAUUUUCUGCCUUCUGGAACUGUUCCUUUCUAAUAGGGGGGUGUUAAAGUCUCCAGUUACACUGGUGGAUUUAUCUAUAUCUCCUUGAGGCUCUAUUGGUUUGUGCCUCAUGCAGUUCAAUGCUCUGUUGUUAGGUACCUCUGUAUUAACAAUUAUUAUAUCUUCUUAGAGUAUUGACCUCUUUAUCAUUAUAUAAUGCCUCUCUAUUCCUGAUACUUUCAUUGCUUUGAAGUCUACUCUGUCUGAAAUUAUUAUAUAGCUACUCCAGCUUUCUUUUGAUUGGUGUUAGCAUGAGCUACCUUUCUCUACUCUUUUCCCUUUAUCCUAUAUAUCUUUAUAUUUAAAGUGGGUUUCUUUUGGACAGCAUAUAGUUGAGUCUUGUUUUCUGACCCACUCUGAUAAUCAUUGUCUCUUAAUUGGUAUAUUUAGACCAUUGACAUUUAAAGUAAUUAUUGAUAUAAUUGAAUUAAUAUCUAUUAUAUUUGUUACUGUUUCCUAUUUGUUGUCUUUGGUUUUUUGUUCCUAAUUUUGUCUUCUACACUUUUUCUGACUUUUGAUGCUUUACUUGAGCACCUUAUACAAUUUCAGCCUCUCUCCAUUCUUAACAUAUCGGUUAUACUCAUUUUUCAAGAGUUUGCAACAUACAUUCACAACGAAUCCAAGUCUACUUUUCAAUAACACUAUACCUCUUCAUUGUUAGUGCAACUACCUUGUAAUGACAAAAUAUUCCAAAUUCCUCCCUCCUGACCCUGUAUCAUUGAAGUCAUUAUUUUCACUUAUGCAUAUGUGUGUGUGCCUGUGUGUAUGUAAUCAAAUACAUUGUUGCUGUUAUUAUUUUAAACAAAUUCUUAUCAGUUAACACAAUUUGAAAUAAGAAAAACAGAAGUUUUCAUUUUAAUUUCAAUUAUUUAUUCUCUGAUGCUCUUUGUGUAGAGCUGAACUUCUGCUACAUUAUCAUUUUCCUUCUCCCUGAAGAACUUCUUUCAACAUUUCUUUCAAGGCAGGUCUACUGACACCAAAAUUUCUCAAUUUUUGUUUGAGAAAGUAUUUAUCUCUCACAUUUAAAGGAUAAUUUUGCAGGGUACAGAAUUCUAGAUUGGUGGGGUUUUUUUCUGUUAUACUUUCACUCUCUUCCAGUUUGUAUGGUUCCUGAGGAGACAUUGGAUGUAAUUCUUACUUUGCUGCUCUAUAAGUAAGGUGUUUCUUCCCUCUGGUUUCUUCAAUAAUUUUUCUAAUUUUUGACUUUCAGAAGUUUGAAUAUAUGUUGAGGUGUUAAGUUUUUUGGCAUUUUUCCUGUUUGGUAUUCUCUGACCUUCCUGGAUUUACGUUUUGAUGUCUGACAUUAAUUUGGGAAGAUUCUCCAUUAUUGCUCUAAUAUUGCUUCUGUUCUCUUCUCUUUUAUUCUUCUGAUAUUGUCAUUAUGCAUAUGUUAUUUACACCUUUUGUACCUGUCUCAUAGUUCUUGGACAUUCUGUUAUGGGUUUUUUUUUUCAGUCUUUUUUCUCUUUGCUUUUCAGCUUUGAAAGUUUCUGGUGUCAUAUCCUCAAGCUCAGAUAUUCUUUAUUCAGUCAUGUCUGGUCUACUAAUGAGCCCGUCAAAGGCAUUCUUAUUUCUGUUACAGUGUUUUUUAUCUCUAGAAUUUUUUAUUCCUUCUUAGAAUUCCCAUCUCACUGCUUACUUUGUUCAUCUCUUUUUGCAUGUUGUCUACUUUUUUCAUUAAAGCCCUUAGAAUAUUCUAAAGGGCUUAAUAUCAAUUAUAGUUUUUUAAAAAUUCUGUUCUGAUCAUCUCAACAUUCCUGCCAUAUAUGAUCUGGUUCUGAUGCUUGUUUAAUAUCUUCAAACUGUGCUUUUUCUACUUUUUGUAUGCCUGUAAUUUCUUGUUAAAAGGUGAACAUAAUGUACUGGGUACAAGGAACUAUGAUAAAUAGCCCUUUAGUAAUGUGGUGGUAAGCUGUGUGGGGAGAAAAAGUAUUCUAUAACCCUGUGAUUAGGUCUCAGUCUUUUGGUAUGAAUUUCACUAGUGCUGCUAAGUUAUUUUCCCCUCUUAGGUGGGACAGAAUUCCUAGAGGUAGGUGGAUUUGGGUAUUUGCCUUUCCCCACAUGGAAGGCUAGAGCCAGCUAGAAUAGGAUAUUUUCCUUUCCCCAGAUGGGUUCGGUUCUUCUGAGGAUAGGACUUGCUAAGAACAAUCAAAAUGGCAAAAUGGGUCCUUUUCCACAUACUCUGAUGGAAGCAUGGGAAUAUUUUUUUCCUGUAUUUACUAUGAAUUUACUAUGAGAACCUGGCAAACUUCCUGGAGGUAAAACUCACAAACAUGUGGUAGCUCCCUAUAAACUGGAUCCCCCGGGAGUUUUUAACUCUCAGACUUGUCCACACCAAGCAUCCAGAAAUUUGUCGAUUCCAGUUUAGGUUUUCCAUCUCUGGCACUGGUUCCCACUGAGGUUUCUGCUAAUGGAUUUCUGCUAUGAUAAAUUGUGAUUCUCUGUAUCCACCUGUUCAUCGCUCCAGUUUUGGGGGCAGUGGUUUGCUCUGUGAUCUCUUUUCCCCCGACAUGUUUAACAAGUGUUGUUGACAUUUCCUUGUUUUCAUUCUUUUACUUGUUGUUAGGACAGAGCAGCAAUUUUUAAGUUCCUUACAUGCUGGAUUAAAAGCCAGAAAUCUGUAAUUUUUUUCUCUGUUUUUAAUCAUCAUUCAAGACUAAAUAUUUGUGGUUAAUUUCAUUACAAUGUCUUCUUUAAUAAUUGAAUUACUUAUACGUGUUUUAAUAUCUAAACAUAUGAUAAGGAAAAACUUGUCUUUUUUUCUUUUUUUCCAUAAUGGUCAAUGACAAAAUGUGGAUUAUUUGAAAUAUACUGAGACUAGCCCUGUAGUCUGGUAAAUGGUAAAUAUUCUAUACGUAGUUAAAAAUGUUUUGCAUUCUCUAAUCACUUCAGGCACACAUCUAUAAACACCAGUUUAUAGAGUUUCAUUAUUCACAAGUUUCGUUAUUCAAAUUUCCUACGUGCAUAUUAACUUUUUGUCUCCUUGAUCUAUCAUUUUCGGAGAGCUAUGCUAAACAUUUCUCAUUACAAUUAUGAAUUUGCCUAUGUCUUCUGUCAAUUUUUUAACAUAUACUUUGGGGCUUUGUAAGAGGGGACAUAUAGGUUCAGAAUUGUCUUGCUGGCACAUUUUGGCUUCCAACUUUACAUAAUGAGCCUUUCCCUAAUGAUUUCUCUACUUUAUCUGAUAUUGCUACAGUAUUUCUUUUAGUUUAAUAUUUACCUGGUUUGUCUUUUUACAUUCUUUACUUUCAGUAACUGGUUUUCUUUAGUCUUAGGUGGGUCACUUGCAAAUAAUAUAUACGUGGCCAGGCACAGUGGCUCACACCUGUAAUCCCAGAUCUUUAGGAGGCUGAGGUGUGUGGAUCACUUGCUCUCAGGAGUUUGAGACCAGCCUCCUCUUUUGGUGAGACCUCAUCUCCACAAAAAAUACAAAAAUUACCCGGGCAUGGUGGUACGCACCUGUAGUCCCUGCUACUCAGGAGGCUGAGGUGGGAGGAUGGCUUGAGCCUGGGAGGCAAAGGUUGCAGUAAGGUAAGAUCGCACGUCUAUUCCAGCUUGGGCAACAGAGUGAGACCUUGUCUUCAAAAUAAUAAUAAUAAUAAGAAGAAGUGGAUUUUUUAAAAACUUUGUCCUUAUUUAAUCUAAAUAAAUGUAUUUUCAGAAUGACUUCUGAUAUAUUUUAGCCUGCUUCUGAUCCUCCCUACUCACUUUCUAUUGUGUGAUAUUUUCCUUACAUCCUCUCCCUUCUCUCUUUUAUUUAACGCUACUGAUUUAGAAGUUAUUUGUUCUAUUUUAUUCUUCCAGUGCCAACCCAUACAUUUUUAACAUGCAAACUUGUCUUGAAUGCUAAGAUUUAUCAUUGUUAUUAUCUUCCUGUCAAGCAAUAUAAGAACUCUAGAACUCCUAACUCUCCCCUUUCUUUCGUAACUGAUAUUUUAGUUUCAUUUUUUUUAAUUCUCUUAAACCAUAGACAUUAUUAUAUCUAUAUUCUCUGUGCUGGUUUGGAUUUCUUUAACAUCUUUAUCUAUUUCUUUGCUCAGUGUUGCUUCUUCCAUUCUAUUUCUUCUCCCUACAUUCCAAUUUCUACUUAUAUCCUUUGGUAAUUCUUUUAGUGAGUGUCUCUGAGAAGUAAGCUCUCUUCAUUUUGUUUUAGAGUAUCUAUAUUUAACCUCCACCCUUUUAUAAUGGUUUAGUUGUGUGAAAGAAAAGAAAGAAAAGUUUAACCUGACAAUCAGUUCCCUCAACACUUUGAAAAUAUUAUAUUUGGCCUCCCCACAUAUACUGGUGCUAAAUAAAAAUCCACUGUCAGUCUGAUUCUUGUUCCUUCGAAGGCCAUUUGUCUCUUCUGUCUAAUAGUUUUUCAGAUUUUUCCCUCUGUCUUUGGUGUUCUGCACUUUUAUCAAGAUGUGCCUUGGUCAAGACAGUUUGUUAUUGAUUGAUUGAUUCAUUCAUUUCUCUAUUGAGAAGAAGGGCUCUGUGAUCCACCAAUCCGAAAACACACCUUUCCUCAGUUUUGUCUUUAUCUCUUUGACUCAUGCUCUCUCCCAUCACCAUUUUUCUGUUCUUUUGGAAGCCCUAUCACACUUAAGUUGGAUUCACUCAUUCUGUCAUCCAUGUGUCUCAGUUGCCUUUCCAUAUGUCCCAUGUCUUUAUUUCUCCCUGACGUACCCAGGAUAGUUUCUUCAAGCAUAUCUUCCUAUUCAUAAUUUCUGUCUUCCCUUGUGUAAUUUGCUGUUGGUCCUAUCUAUUGAGAUUUUAAUGAUUGUGAGUAGAUAGAUAAAUACAUAAGGAGAUAGACAGAUAAUUUAGAAUAAUAAAUACUCAAAUGCUCCUUGUUUCUUUUUCAAAUCUGCUUUCUUUUUUUUUUUUUUUUUUUUUUUUUUUUUUUUUUUUUUUUUUGAGACAGAGUCUCACUCUGUCACCCAGGCUGGAGUGCAGUGGCGCGAUCUCAGCUCACUGCAACCUCUGCCUCUCAGGUUCAAGCAAUUCUCCUGCCUCAGCCUCCUGAGUAGCUGGGACUGCGGGCAUGCACCAUCACACCCAGCUAAGUUCUUUUGUAUUUUUAGUAGAGAUGGGUUUCACCAUGUUGGCCAAGCUGGUGACCUCAGGUGAUCCACCCACCUUGGCCUCCCAAAGUGUUGGGAUUACCGACACGAGCCACCACACCCAGCCUCAAACCUGCCUUUUAUAGCAUCCUCUUUGUUAUUACAUUUUCUUGUACUUUUUAAAAUCUUUUUAAUCCUCUUAAAUAUCACGUUUAAAAAAUCUCCUUCAGACUACUCUAUAUGUUUGAGUUUUCCAGGUACUGAUUUUUCAUUAAUCGCUCCUGCUGCUGGCCCUCCCCUGGCUGAUUUGUUUCCUAUGCUUCUCUGUGAUUCUGCUUGUGAGCUUGUCUUCAGCAGAACUGACUGUUCCGGGGGAUUCUAGUGUACCCUGAAUUACAGUACAAUCCACAUUGAGGGCUUUCUGGCUUCCUACUUUGCAGUUCAAGAGACUUCUAUUGUCCUGGGCCAGUUCUUAUGUUACUAUCUUAUUUGUGGUUCCCACACUACAGAGGAAGAGGGCAUCUGUACUCCACAUCCAUGCAUAGGGCAGGAUAAGGUUUUGACUUCUUUGGGGGAUAUUUUCUUCUCUUUUUAUGAUCCUUUGCCACUUUUUUUUUUUGUUUGAGAAGGAGUCUCACUCUGUCACCCAGGUUGAAGUGCAGUGGAUCAAUCUCAGUUCCCUGCAACCUCCGCCUUCUGGGUUCAAGCGAUUCUCCCGCCUCAGCCUGCUGAGUAGCUGGGACUACAGGAGCACGCCACCAUGCCUGGCUACUUUUUGUAUUUUUAGUAGAGAUGGGGUUUCACCGUAUUGGCCGGGCUGGUCUCGAACUGCUGACCUCGUGAUCCACCUGCCUCAGCCUCUCAAAGUGCUGGGAUUACAGGUGUGAGCCACCGUGCCUGACUGAUCCUUUGCCACUCUUAAAGCCCCAUAUUGUGGAGUUUCUGCCUGCUGCUCUCGGCUGGAGGUAGGGGUGAAUUAUUUCAGUCUAUGUGAUCCAGGAGCACUUUACAGAGUGAGGGGGAGGAGGAGGGCUUGUUUCUGAGCCCUUUGCUUUGUGACAGAUCUGGUUGCCCAUGGUGCUAGGACCCCAGACCCCAGCCUCAGGAUUUGUGUCUGCUCUGGCCCUGAGGCUGGGAUCUGAGGUCUUAACACCAGCCUGCUACUCUUAACGUCAGCUUCUCACACGGCCCCAGCUUGAACCUCUGUCUUCUGUCUUUGUUUCUGAAUCCCGGGGAUGUUCCUUCUUUUGUUCACACUGGGAAAAUUUUUAUAAUUGUGUUUAUUAUUUGAUUAUAUUGUAUUCACAAUUCUAUGCAUUUGUAUUGAGAGAGGGGAAAUGCUACACCAGCUCAGGCAACCAUGAUGCUGAAAGUCCUCCAUGAUUUACUAUUUCUUUAGUGAAAUAUUUAAAUUGAUACAUCACAUGCAAAAUCAUUAAAAAGGUACACGUCAUAAGGUGCAGCAUGAUUUACAGCUCAAAGAAUCCUCAUUUAAGUCAACACACCUGUGUAACUAGCACCCAGACUAAGAAGUAGAAAGCUAUCAGCACCCUAGAAGCCACAUUUGCACCCCACUUUACUCAACCCCCUCAAAAUAAUUGUUACCCUGCCCAUUGACCCCCCACAGUAGCUUUGCCUAUUCUUGAUUUUUAUAAAAUGGAAACAUACAAUAUGUUCUUUUUUGCAUCUCACUUCAUUUACUCAAUAUUGUUGAUAUGGCUUGGCUCUGUGUCGCCACCCAAACCUCAGCUCAAAUUGUAAUCCCCACGUGUCGGGGGAGGGGCCUGCUGGGAGGUGAUUGAAUCAUGGGGUGGACUUCCCCUUUGCUGUUCUCAUGAUAGUGACUGAGUUCUCAUGAGAUCCGGUUGUCUGAAAGUGUGUGGCACUUCCCCCUUUGCUUCCUCUGUCUCCUGCCACCAUGUGAAGAAAGUGCUUGCUUCCCUUUCACUUUCUGCCAUGAUUGUAAGUUUCCUGAGGCCUCCCAAUCAUCCUUCCUGUUAAGCCUGCAGAACUGUGAGUCAAUUAAACCUCUUUUCUUCAUAAAUUACCCAGUCUCAGGUAGUUCUUUAUAGCAGCGUGAGAACGGACGAAUACAAUUGUGUGUUGAGAUUCAUCCAAACUCUUAUGCGCAGUUGUAGAUCAUUCGUUUUAUUACUGUGUAGUAUUCCAUCAUGUGAAUAGACCAUAAUUUAUGUAUCCAUUCUACUACUGAUGGGCAGUGGAUGGCUAUUACAAAUACUACUGCUAUAAAUAUUUGGUGACCAUAUGGGCUCAUUGACGUUGGGUGUGUACAUUGAAGUGGAAUUGCUGGCUCAUAGGUAAGUGCAUGUCCAGAUAUACUUGCUUAGAUCCUUCUUGCCCUCUCGUACUUGUCUAUCUCCCCAGCUAUGCUUAAGGGCCUCGAAGGCCAGGUCUCUGUCAGUAUUCACUGCUCUCUGCUCAAUACCUUAUACACAGUGGGUGCUUAAUAAAUGCUUGCUGCAUAAAUAAAGGCAUCAGUGAACCCAGGUGGCAGAUCCAGGCCUGCCUAUCAAUCUCACCCCACCCCUACCUGCUCCCCCACACCUGGGGAGUCAGACGCAGAAGGGGGAUGAUGUCUGGAGGGUAACCAGCCCUGCAUGUGAGGAGGACAGGGUUGGGGGAUUGGGGAGUGGUGCCAGGGGCAGGCACUUGAGCAGCUGAGCAGACCCAGCCUGGCACUGGCUGCUGGUGUCUCCAGCCUUGGACACAUUCGCAAUGCAGAGCUCCUCACCUUCCCAUUGGGCCACAACAUCUUUUGAAAUAGCCAAAACGUGUGACCUUCAGCCAUGCCACAGCAGAGUCUUGGCCACCAGAAAAUUCAACUGGACAUGUACCUUUGCUUAACGCAGGAUUUCAGGGAGCCUAGAGAGGAGGUUUUUGUUCCCAGUCUCCUAUCAUUUUCAGAAAUGUCGAAAACGCUGACAGGUCUGGGAGAGGAAGCAAUUCCCCUUUGAGCUAAUCAAUAUAAGAGCCUCAAGGUGCCUCAUGCCUGUGUCAAACAUGGGGCUUUCAGCAUCAAAGUGCUUGCAAGACUUGGUGAGUUCUUUUUUUCUUUUUUUUUUUUUUUUUUUUUUGUCUUUUUGGCCUGUCAGGUUGUAAGGACACUGUACCUUCAAUACAUACCAAAGUCACAAUGUGUCUGGUUCCUGAUCUCCUGCCAUGUUCUCAAGAAAGUGUGUGUGUGUGUGUGUGUGUGAGAGAGAGAGAGACAGAGAGAAGGAGAGAGGGAGGAAAUGGGGAGGAGAGAAGAGGAGACAGGCAGGGUAAAGAGGAGAAUAGAAGGAGAGAGAAAAGAAAGACAGACAUGGAAAUGAAAUAGAGCAGGAGAGAGAAGUGGUAAGAGAAGGGAGAAGAAAAAAGUGAAGAAUGAGAACAGACAGACAGGAGACAAGGAACAAAAAAUUAGCAAAAUGGCCAGAGAAAAGAAAAAAAAAGAUUGAGAAAUAAAAGAGAAGCAAAGAAAAAGAGAGACAGAAAGGAGUGAGAAAAUGAAAUAGGCAAGCGGUUCUCAAGACAGAAAAUGGGAAAGGGAAGAAAUGACUGAGAAUGAGAGAAAGAUAAAAAGAAUAAAAAGAUGAAACAGAAGGGAAAUGCCUCAAGGGCCCUGCCCAAGAGACUCAGAGACACCCAUGUUUUCUCAUGACCCUUCAUGAUGGCAGUUGUCAGGCAGACCCCAAGAAACCCUGAGACCAAACAGCAAGGGGAAGUAGCCAGGCUCCAGUGAAUUUACCUUCUCUGCCCUUCAGCAUGGAAUUGGGAUGACCUGAAAUGCAGCUGAAAAUUCAUCCUGAGCUCCCCAGCAGCCCCAGAGAGGAGCUGAAGCAGCAGCUCAGCAGCAAAGAACACUUGGGGCUUUGCCUUUCUGUGGAACUGAGAGUGUCUUCAGGUUGGCUGGGUUCACACCCUCCUGGGUACCAGGACCCCACUCUGUCCAUAUGAGCCUCUCUGCAUUCAUUCCCUGGGCCCACCUGAAACCACAGGGUCCUCAGAGUGAAGGUGGCCUCUCAGCUUCCAGGAGAUCUAGUGCUGUCUGUAUUUUGCCAUGUGUGAACUUCAAAUGAUUUCAGGGACAUAUUAUGUUCCCAUUUGAAAGAUACUUCGGUAUGGCAUCUCUAUUACCUAAGUCCUUAGUGCUUUGUAUGAAGCACAGUGGACAAACAUUAUGCAUAAAUACCAACCAAACUGAGCAUUGCAAAGCAAAGAGAAAUCUGAUUCAUUGUUUUCUACUUUUUAAAAUAAUAUUUGUACCCCAUAACAUUUGGGAAAAUAAGUUCAAAAACUUGUUUAGAAAAAUAAGAAGAAUCAUACCAUAGACUAAUACAAUGGGAAUUCAAAAGAAGAAAAAAAAGAUCAAAAAAAUGGAUAAGAAUGCUCUGGGCCUCUGUUCCAACAUGGCCAAAAAGGAACAGCUCCAGUCUGCAGUGCCCAGCAUGAUCAACACAGAAGACGGGUGAUUUCUGCAUUUCCAACUAAGGUAAGUGGUUCAUCUUACUGGGACUGGUUGGACAGUGGUACAGCCCAUGGAGGGCAAGCUGAAGCAGGGUGGGGUGUCGCCUCCCCUGGGAAGUGCAAAAGGUCAGGGGAUUUCUCUUUCUUAGCCAAGGGAACCCAUGACAGACUGUACCUGGAAAAACAGGACACUGCCACCGAAAUACUGUGCUUUUCCCGAGGUCUUAGCAACCAGUAGACAAGGAGAUUCUCUCCCAUGCCUGGCUCAGCGGGUCCCAUGCCCACAGAGCCUUGCUCGCCACUAGCGCAGCGGUCUGAGAUGGAACUGCCAGGCAGCAGCCUUGCUGGGGGAGGGGCGUCCACCAUUGCUGAGGCUUGAGUAGGUAAACAAAGCAGCCAGGAAGCUCAAACUGGGCGGAGCCCAACACAGCUCAUCAAGGCCUACUGCCUCUAGACUCCACCUCUGUGGGCAGGGCACAGCUGAACAAAAGGCAACAGACAACUUCUGUAGACAUAAACAUCCCUGUCUGACAGCUCUGAAGAGAGCAGUGGUUCUCCCAGCACGGCGUUUGAGCUCAGAGAAUGGACAGACUGCAUCCUCAAGUGGGUCCCUGACCACCAUGUAGCCUAACUGGGAGAUACCUCCCAGUAGGGGCCGACAGACACCUCAUAUAGGUGGGUGCCCCUCUGGGACGAAGCUUCCAGAGGAAGGAUCAGGCAGCAAUAUUUGCUGUUCUGCAAUAUUUGCUGUUCUGCAGCCUCCACUGCUCCUAGGCAAACAGGGUCUAGAGUGGACCUCCAGCAAACUCCAACAGAUCUAUAGCUGAGGGACCUGACUAUUAGAAGGAAAACUAACAAACAGAAAGGAAUAGCAUCAACAUCAGCAAAAAGGACAUCCACACCAAAACCCCAUCUGUAGGUCACCAACAUCAAAGACCAAAGGUAGAUAAAACCACAAAGAUGGGGAGAAACCAGAGCAGAAAAGCUGAAAAUUCUAAAAAUCAGAGCAUUUCUUCUCCUCCAAAGGAUUGCAACUCCUACCAGCAAUGGAACAGAGCUGGACAGAGAAUUAUUUUGACAAGUUGACAGAGUAGGCUUCAGAAGGUCGGUAAUAACAAACUUCUCUGAGCUAAAGGAACGUGUUCGAACCCAUGCAAGGAAGCUAAAAACCUUGAAUAAAAAUUAGAUGAAUGGCUAACUAGAAUAAACAGUGUAGAGAAGAACUUAAAUGACCUGAUGGAGCUGAAAACCAUGGCAUGAGAACUUCAUGAUGCAUGCGCAAGCUUCAGUAGCCGAUCUGAUCAAGUGGAAGAAAGGGUAUCAGUGAUUGAAGAUCAAAUUAAUGAAAUAAAGCAAGAAGAGAAGGUUAGAGAAAAAAGAAACAAACAAAGCAUCCAAGAAAUAUGGGGCUAUGUGAAAAGACCAAAUCUAUGUUUGAUUGGUGUACCUGAAAGUGAUAAGGAGAAUGGAACCAAGUUGGAAAACGCUCCUCAGGAUACUAUCCAGAAGAACUCCAACAUAGCAAGGCAGGCCAACAUUCAAAUUCAGGAAAUACAGAGAACAUCACAAAGAUACUCCUUGAGGAGAGCAACCCCAAGACACAUAAUUGUCAGAUUCACCAAGGUCGAAGUGAAGGAAAAAAUGUUAGGGGCAGCCAGAGAGAAAGGUCAAGUUACCCACAAAGGGAAGCCCAUCAGACUAACAGUGAACCUCUCAGCAGAAACCCUACAAGCCAGAAGAGAGUGGCGGCCAAUAUUCAACAUUCUUAAAGAAAAGAAUUUUCAACCCAGAAUUUUAUAUCCAGCUUCAUAAGUGAAGGAGAAAUAAAAUCCUUUACAGACAGGCAAAUGCUGAGAGAUUUUGUCACCACCAGGCCUGCCUUAUAGAGCUCCUGAAGGAAGCGCUAAACACGGAAAGAAACAACCAGUACCAGCCAUUGCAAAAACAUGCCAAAUUGUAAAGACCAUCAAUGCUAGGAAGAAACUGCAUCAAUUAACGGGCAAAAUAACCAGCUGACAUCAUAAUGACAGGAUCAAAUUCCCACAUAACAAUAUUAACCUUAAAUGUAAAUGGGCUAAAUACCUCAGUUAAAAGACACAGACUGGCAAAUUGGAUAAAGAGUCAAGACCCAUCAGUGAGCUGUAUUCAGGAGACCCAUCUCACAUGCAGAGACACACAUAGGCUCAAAAUAAAGGUAUGGAGGACGAUCUAUGAAGCAAAUGAAAGCAAAAAAAUAGCAGGGCUUGCAUUCCUAGUCUCUGAUAAAACAGAAUUUAAACCAACAAAGAUUAAAAGAGACAAAGAAGGCCAUUACAUAGUGGUAAAGGGAUCAAUUCAAUGAGAAGACCUAACUAUCCUAAAUAUAUAUGCACCCAAUACAGGAGCACACAGACUCAUAAAGCAAGUCCUUAGAGACCUACAAAGAGACUUAGACUCCCACACAAUAAUAAUGGGAGACUUUAACACCCCACUCUCAAUAUUAGACAGAUCAACGAGACAGAAGGUUAACAACGAUAUCCAGGACUUGAACUCAGUUCUGCACCAAGCAGACCCAAUAAACAUCUACAGAACUCUCCACCCCAAAUUAACAGAAUAUACAUUCUUCUCAGCACCACAUCGCACUUCAAACAACCCCAUCAAAAAGUGGGCAAAGGAUAUGAACAGACACUUCUCAAAAGAAGACAUUUAUGCAGCCAACAGACACAUGAAAAAAUGCUCAUCAUCACUGGUCAUUAGAGAAAUGCAAAUCAAAACCACAAUGAGAUACCAUCUCAUGCCAGUUAGAAUGGCAAUCAUGAAAAAGUCAGGAAACAACAGAUGCUGGAGAGGAUGUGGAGAAAUAGGAACACUUUUACACUGUUGGUGGGAGUGUAAAUUAGUUCAAGCAUGGUGGAAGACAGUGUGGCAAUCCCUCAAGGAUCUAGAACUAGAAAUACCAUUUGACCCAGCAAUCUCAUUACUGGGUAUAUACCCAAAGGAUUAUAAAUCAUGCUACUAUAAAGACACAUGCACAUGUAUGUUUAUUGCAGCACUAUUCACAAUAGCAAAGACUUGGAACCAACCAAAAUGUCCAUCAAUGAUAGACUGGAUUAAGAAAAUGUGGCACAUAUACACCACAGAAUACUAUGCAGCCGUAAAAAAGAAUGGGUUCAUGUCCUUGGCAGGAACAUGGUUGAAGCUGGGAACCAUCAUUCUCAGCAAACUAUCACAAGGACAGAAAACCAAACACUGCAUGUUCUCACUCAUAGGUGGGAAUUGAACAAUGAGAUCACUUGGACACAGGGCGGGGAACAUCACCUACCGGGACCUGUCAGAGGGUGGGGGGCUGGAGGAGGGAUAGCAUUAGGAGAAAUAAUAUAAAUGACAAGUUGAUGGGUGCAGCAAACCAACGUGGCACAUGUAUACCUAUGUAUCAAAUCUGCAUGUUGUGCACAUGUACCCUAGUACUUAACAUAUAAUAAAAAAUAAAAAUAAAAAUAAUUCAGAGGAAAAUGGAAUCAGCUUUUAAAAAAAAAAGAAUGCUCUGGCAUGAGAAAUAAAAUCUCACUUGGAACUUUCUAGAGGCCUGGGAAAAGGAAUAAAAAUAAAAUUAAUUAAAAAAUAAGUUGCAAACCCUUUUCAGAAAAUUUUCUUAAUGUUGGCCAAAUAUGUCCUUACUCUCCAUUUUGAAAUAAAUGUAUCAAAUGGGACUUCACUUAGAGACUAAAGAUUGAAUUUAUGAACAAUGCCUUCAAAGGAGCAACAUUCGUAGUACUGUUUUAAAAUGGCAUCACUUCAGUAAAUACAAUUCUGCAAAAAUAUAUCCUUAUGUGAUCUAAUUCUGUUCCUUGCAAGUAUUUGCUAGAGUGCUUUUUCUUGUUGCUUUGUUUUCAGUUGCUGAACAAUCUUAGUUUUGCGAUUUUGGGGGAGAGACUGAAGACAAACUGUUAAGAAACAGUGAGAAAGACACAUAUUUGUACCUAGCAGUUAAAAUCUUACUUAAGGAUUUAAAAUAUAUUUUAUAGUCCAGGUGCAGUGGCUUAUGUGUGUAAUCCCAGCACUUCGUGAGGCCAAGGUGGCUGGAUUGCUUUAGCCCAGGAGUUUGAGGCCAGCCUGGACAUCAUAGCAAGACUCUUUCUCUUAAAAAAAUUUUUUUUAAUUAGCUAGAGGCUGAGGCAGGAGGAUUGUUUGAGCCUGGGAAGUCAAGACUGCAAUGAGCAAUGAUCACACUGCUGCACUCCAGCCUGGGCAACAGGGUGAGACCUUGCCUCCAAAAUAAAAUAAAACAAAUCUUAUAAUAUAUAUAAAAUAAAAUAUAUUAUGUAAAAUAUAUAAUAAGAUAUAUAUGUGGACAUGUAUUUGUGUAGAUGUAUAUGUUUUGUUCUUGAAUGUUGCAAUUACUCAUUCAUUAUGGAGAACUCGAUUUUGAACAAGGAAAGGAACCUUUCGUGAAAACACAUAUUAAUCCUUCAAUUAACUCUGCAUAAUGAUAAAGGCCUUUGGCUGGGCAGACCAUACACCCUAGGCCUGCUUCUCCCUGUGCCAACCAUGCCGACUCCAGGCAAACGAGUUCAACCUGAAGCCCAGGGACGUGCGAGCAGAAGUCGGCUAAGUGUCUUAGAGUAGGUGUUUUACCUUUAAUAACUCCAUGGCGUAAUUAUGCAGGAAUUUGUCCAAGCCUUUUUUGAAACUAUUUAUACAUUCAGCAUUUACCAAAUCAGGGGGGAGGGGGGAUGAAAAAAAACAGAGAGAUUUUAAUCUCAUGCGAUUUAUUUUUUUUUUUUUUUGUCCUAAAAUGACUUAAAGAGAAACGGGUUGGGUUAGUGGCAAAUUGUCCUGCACUGAGAGCAUGCUGUGUGCCAGGCACCACGCUGGGGGCUUCAUAAACAGCCUCUCAUUUAAUCCUCGUAACACCCCUACAUGGUAGGGAUCACCAUAACAUUUCACGGAUGAGGAACUGGGCUCAGAGAGGUCCUGGCAGUUGCCCAAGGUCAUUCAGCUUUCACAGAUAGGGUUUGAAACCUGGUGUGUUUGCUCUCAAAGCCUGUGGCUUUUUGCCUGACACCAGCUGUUCCCUGGGUGCCAGAGGGAACAGCAGCACUGCCUCCUUGUAACAGCCUCGCGGGAGCUGAAGUCAUGUGUGUCGUCUCAAGUAUCUUCUGCAAAAAGUACCUUCCCAUCUAAAUUCUCUCGCUUGUCCUGCUCACUCCCGAAACUCCAACCCAGUUUUCCUGGAGUUUUCAAAGACAGAGAAGUUUGGGAAUAUAAAGCUGUAUGUUGAAGGGAUCUCCCAGCUCUGAGAGUUUGUGAAAUACUCAAGAAACCACAAGGACUUUCA
rnacentral:lncRNA from 1 species